rnacentral:rRNA from 1 species
AUCAAUAUGCGGUUAUAUCCUUGGUGAGACCUUCGUGUCUCUUUAGGAUAGUAUCGCAUAUUGGGCGUGACAUCCUCACGGGUCGCACCACUGUCCGACCCUGAUCUUUUGUGAAGGGUUCGAGUUGGAGCACGCCUGUCGGGACCCGAAAGAUGGUGAACUAUGCCUGAGCGGGGCGCAGCCAGAGGAAACUCUGGUGGAGGAUCGAAGCAAUAGUGACAUGCAAAUCGUUCGUCUGACUUGGUAUAGGGGUGAAAGACUAAUCAAACCAUCUAGUAGCUGGUUCCGUCCGAAGUUUUGCUCAGGAUAGCUGGAGCCCAUUACGAGUUCUAUCAGGUAAAGCCAAUGAUUAGAGGCAUUGGGGACGCAACGUCCUCAACCUAUUCUCAAACUUUAAAUAGGUAGGAUGGCGCGACUGCUUCGGUGAGCCAUGCCACGGAAUCGGGUGCUCCAAGUGUGCCAUUAUUGAUGAGCAGAACUGGCGAUGCGGGAUGAACCGGAAGACGGGUUACGGUGCCCAACUGCGCACUAACCUAGAACCCACAAAGGGUGUUGGUCGAUUAAGAUAGUAAGAUGGUGGUCAUGGAAGUCGAAAUCCGCUAAGGAGAGUGUAACAACUCACCCGCCGAAUCAACUAGCCCCGAAAAUGGAUGGUGCUGAAGCGCACGACCCACACCUGACCAUCUGGGUGAGCGCCAUGCCCUGAUGAGUAGGAGGGUGCGAUGGCCGCUGCAAAACCUGGGUCGCAAGACCGGGAGAAGCGGCCGAUGGUGCAGAUCUUGGUGGUAGUAGCAAAUAUUCUAAUGAGAACUUUGAAGGCCGAAGAGGAGAAAGGUUCCAUGUGAACUUCAAUUGCACAUGGGUAAGCCGAUCUUAAGGGACGGGGUAACCCCGGCAGAUAGCGCGAUCACGCGCAUCCCCUGAAAGGGAAUCAAGUUAAGAUUUCUCGAGCCGGGAUGUGGCGGUUGACGACAACGUUAGGAAGUCCAGAGAUGCCUGCGGGGGCCUCGGAAGAGUUAUCUUUUCUGCUUAACGGCCUGCCAACCCUGGAAACGGUUCAACCGGAGGUAGGUUCUAGUGGCCCAUCAGGUCUCCAAGGUGAACAACCUCUGGCC